CUGACUGGUCGUCCUUACUUCAGUUCUCGUGAAUAAAUUUCGAGUACGUAGAAGUCGGUAUUGAUUUGGACUGAGUAGACGUAGUUUACGUGCUGAUGGAAUUAGAGGUUCCGAAAGUGUAGGUCGUGUUGUUCGUAUGAAAAACUUUCUUUAACGAAAUACGGAGAAACAUUUUUAAUAUCCUUGGCUCGAUCGAGGCAGUUCAGAAGUGGCGGACAUCAGAACAAAGUAUCGUUCUACGAUGAACCUGCGUUGAACGUGAAUUUUAAACCAGUGACUUGUUUUCCAGAAUAUGGUGUUAUGUGGUAAGCUCGUAUCCUGUAGUCGUCAUGUACCGCCAGGUACUUCCAGAUGCUACUUACAUCAUCCAACAGGAUAUGAUGUGGCAGUACUGAGUUCGAGACUCGUGGGGAAAGGCAUCGCCGUCGGAUUUGAGGUUUUCACGUGGUUCUGAAACUCAGCGGAGGAUCUUCAUCGCAUUUUCACCCGUGCGGUUGCGUCUACACGCUCCGGGGUACCCGGACGCCGCACUCUUGUCGUGUUUUAUUGACAACUUUACGUCUGUUUCCAGUGUCGGCUGUCAUCUAUCCGGCAUAUUUCGUUUCAACCAUCUUUGCUGGUGAGUGAAACGAAUUACUUUAAUAUUAAAUUAACACACGACUAACGUCUGGGGUGCAGGGGUUAAACUCAUUCCAAUGUUACUUAAUUUUGAGUCUCCAAUUAAUGUUUUGCUUGUUUCCAUCCCUUGAGCAAAAUGAAUCCAGAUUCUUUCUAUUUA